GGCACGGUGGUCUAGCGGUUAGAACGCAGGCCUUGUAAUCCUGGGGUCUCGGGUUCGAUUCCCGGCGGUGCCC
rnacentral:tRNA from 1 species